rnacentral:rRNA from 1 species
CGCUGAAGGAGGAGCUUGCUUCUCUGGAUGAGUUGCGAACGGGUGAGUAACGCGUAGGUAACCUGCCUGGUAGCGGGGGAUAACUAUUGGAAACGAUAGCUAAUACCGCAUAAGAGUAGAUGUUGCAUGACAUUUGCUUAAAAGGUGCAAAUGCAUCACUACCAGAUGGACCUGCGUUGUAUUAGCUAGUUGGUGGGGUAACGGCUCACCAAGGCGACGAUACAUAGCCGACCUGAGAGGGUGAUCGGCCACACUGGGACUGAGACACGGCCCAGACUCCUACGGGAGGCAGCAGUAGGGAAUCUUCGGCAAUGGACGGAAGUCUGACCGAGCAACGCCGCGUGAGUGAAGAAGGUUUACGGAUCGUAAAGCUCUGUUGUAAGAGAAGAACGAGUGUGAGAGUGGAAAGUUCACACUGUGACGGUAUCUUACCAGAAAGGGACGGCUAACUACGUGCCAGCAGCCGCGAUAAUACGUAGGUCCCGAGCGUUGUCCGGAUUUAUUGGGCGUAAAGCGAGCGCAGGCGGUUAGAUAAGUCUGAAGUUAAAGGCUGUGGCUUAACCAUAGUAGGCUUUGGAAACUGUUUAACUUGAGUGCAAGAGGGGAGAGUGGAAUUCCAUGUGUAGCGGUGAAAUGCGUAGAUAUAUGGAGGAACACCGGUGGCGAAAGCGGCUCUCUGGCUUGUAACUGACGCUGAGGCUCGAAAGCGUGGGGAGCAAACAGGAUUAGAUANCCUGGUAGUCCACGCCGUAAACGAUGAGUGCUAGGUGUUAGACCCUUUCCNGGGGUUUAGUGCCGUAGCUAACGCAUUAAGCACUCCG